AUGGCGUGCGGGGCAAACUGAAGCGGCCCAUGGAAUUUGAAGCGGCGCUGCUGAGCCCUGGUUCCCCAAAGCAACAGCGCUGCGCCCCUUUGCCGGGCCCCACUCCGGGCCUCAGGCUCCUGGACACUGAGCCACCGCCUCUUCAGACGCAGACCCCGCUGCCGACUCUACAGCAGCCCGCCCCUCCUGGCAGCGAGUGGAACCUUCCAACUCCUGGAGAAAAUUUUUCAGAACAUAAAGCAAGAAUACAGUCGUCAGAGAUGGAGACAUUUAGAAGUUGUUCUCAAUCAGAGUGAAGCUUGCACUUCAGAAAGCCAGCCUCGCUCCUCAGCACUCACAGCACCUAGUUGUCCAGGUUCCUCCUGGAUGAAGAAGGACCAGCCCAGCUUUACCCUUCGACAAAUUGGAAUAAUAUGUGAGAGGCUCCUAAAAGACUAUGAAGAUAAAAUUCGAGAGGAGUAUGAGCAAAUCCUUAAUACCAAAUUAGCAGAGCAGUAUGAAUCUUUUGUGAAAUUCACACAUGAUCAAAUUAUGGGGCGAUAUGGGACAAGGCCAACAAGCUACGCUAUGUGUCCUGAAACUUUCUUGCAUAUCUGGGUACCGGGUUUGACCUCAAGAGAUGGCUGCUGUACACUUUUUGCAACUGGUUUGAUUUCACAUUUCAGCUCCAAACUUUGCAUCCUGAGAACACUUAAAUGUUUCUGCAGGUCCAUUUUCUACAACUUGAAAGACCUUAAAACUUGCUGGUUGCCACAAGCAUAUCUUUCUUUUCUGCUCAUCCAAUAAACAGCUCUGCCCUACUGUGAUAGAUUUUCCAAACAAAAAUACCUGGAGCAGCAGUUUAGCGAAAUAUGCCUUCAGUGGCACUCAACAAAUGGAGUUUCCCCAAGCACAGUUCUGUAAGAAGUGUG